UGUGAACAUGACACGUUCUGAAAACUGAAUCAGGAUUCAUUUGACUUUUUGUAUUUCUUUUUUCAGAAGCUUUCACAGGCAAAAUGCCUUUGAAGAUGUUUCUAUAAAGAAUGUGGUUUUCAGAGUCUCCUGAAGUAUGCAGUGCUUUCUGGAAAUGCAUAUCCCUCGUUUCUCUGCCUAACAUGGCAGAGUCAGGUCUUGGCUGCAGACCAGUUUAACAACCGCCAGGUGAUCUGGAUUCAGCUGGAUUAUUCCCUGCCCAUUCCUUGCCGCUCUCUGUCCCUGCCUCCAAAGCCCAUCCUGAACUUCUGCCCUGAACGGUCUCACCCCACCUGGAGCAGGCGCUGUGCUAGGUACCAACCCUGGUGGGGGAUGGACUGCACUACUAGAAUCCUGGUGAGCCCGAAUGCACUGUGAGCUGACACCCUGCUGCCCUACCUCCUUCCUAAGGAGCAGAAAGGGAUACCUGGACUGAGAUGAGUGGAGGCGGAGUAGCAGCUGAGCUCCUGUCUGCGUGAAGUCCACACUUUCAAAGAUAGAACUCCGUCCAUCAGAGGAGUGAAGUGUGCUUGGAUCCAGAAUAAAAGCUUUCUGUCAUAUUGCCUUGUAACGUUUUUUGGCGCUUUUAGAAAGGAGAGAGAGAGAAUGAAAUUGGGUGACAACAAUUCUAAAUGGAGUCUUUGCCUUUGAUGGUUUCUGAAGACAGAACCAUGGCGGAUACUGGCUAUGAAAGCUUGCUAUGAUACUGGCUAUGAAAAGUCUCCCAGUGUCAACUUGCUUUUUCUCAGUGACAGACAGGGGUUCGUUUAGGGUGCCGUGAUGCUGACGUCUGCAGUGGGAAGCAUGGGGGCUCCAAGGUCCUUUGGUACAGCCUCCACACAAACACUGAGGAUUUCUACAGUUAGCCCCCUUCUUGCGGUG
rnacentral:lncRNA from 1 species